AUCCUCCGUCUGCACCUCUCAUCCGUUCACCCGCACUCCAGCCGCGUUAAGUGUUACGCCCGGCUGAUUGCAUCAGCCGGGCUGGUUGCGGCGGAGCCGCAGAGGCUGACUGUCGAUUUGGAGCCGAGAGAAAUUGAUGUCUGACUGUGACUGAUGCAGCAGGCGUGAUUGUUACUGGGUCAAGCGGAACAGAAGUGACAACAUCGCUACAAAUCACCAGGUUAGAAACAGUAGGACAAUCCAACUGGCGGCCCGCGGGCCACAUCCGUCCCGCCAAAGCUUUUCAUUUGGAC